UACAGAGGGGGCAAGCGUUGUUCGGAAUUACUGGGCGUAAAGGGCGCGUAGGCGGCCCUCUAAGUCAGACGUGAAAUCCCCAGGCUCAACCUGGGAACUGCGUCUGAUACUGGAUGGCUUGAAUUCGGGAGAGGGAUGCAGAAUUCCAGGUGUAGCGGUGAAAUGCGUAGAUAUCUGGAGGAACACCGGUGGCGAAGGCGGCAUCCUGGACCGGCAUUGACGCUGAGGCGCGAAAGCCAGGGGAGCAAACGGG
rnacentral:rRNA from 1 species